UAGCACUAUAGGUAUGAUUUAAAUAUAGGGGAAUAUGCUCUUUCUGUCUUUCUCCGUAAACAGGACUAUCUGCAGAAUCUAUACAUAAAGUAAGUGGGGAGUUCAUGGCAAGCUUCUGCGGGGGAAGGGAGAAGAGGACCAGCACUGUGGUUAAAAAACUGCCGGAGCCGACUGUGUUUGUCCGGAGCUUCUGGGUGAAUCAGGUUCCAAUCUUGACAUCUGGACAAAUCCAUAAAAAGAUCUUCAUGGGUUUUUCACCACCAGAUAUAACUCAGGGCGUAAGUAGAAAUUGGGAUCAUAACUAGUUAGGCCUGAAUAAUCUUUGUCAUGGGUAAUAAUGCAUGGGAAAGAAAAUAUGUUGUCUGAUGCAGUGAACUUAAUUUUCAGGGUCAAUUUUAAAAAGCUCUGUAUUUUUAUCUGUAAACUCAACAGAGAAGCAUGCAUGCAGCCUGAUGUUUAAAAGGUCAGAUUUUAAACUGAAGCUACUGUUCAGACCUCUUCCUUUGCAAGGAGAAGCAGGAACUGCUGAUUAGCUGCCUCCCAUCUCACUGUCCAGGUCCCCGGUGCAAGUCAAGAGCAGCCUCAGGGCUGGUCUACCUGUGCCUGGCUCCAGCAGGCCUUUGCUUCUCUUCCCCAACCCCAAGCGUACCGGGGAGAUGACGCCUGUGUAGAAGGACUUCCUGACUGGGCAGUCAACCCGGGAACCCAAACUGCAGUCCUGCAUCCCAUGGCGCUGGGUGCUGCGCAACCUCCACCAGGAAGGUGCUCACUGCUUYGGGGCAGGGCACCUGAAGCAUCAGCUGAGCUCACGGAUGGAGAGGGAGCAGAGGGCAGGGACACCUGCCUGUUGGCAGGCCCAAGGCUUGUCAAACUUUUGCAGGCAUAGAGGCAAAGGCAAAUGAGAAGGAAGUAUCUGAGAGAUGAUACAGCUGCUUUGCAGAGUACAGCCACAAUGGGAGCUGCAAUCACAGAGAAAACAGCACGUCUGUCUGAAACGCUAUUUCUGCUUUAUUGUGUAAAUACAGGAACUAUGACUUCAUGUCUCACACUUCAAGAGAUGUACUCUCAGGCUUGCUUUUGCCCAUAUUAGAGCUCUAAGAAAUCCAAAAUGUGUCUCUGUAUUUCAGUUCUGGCUUGAGGUUAAUCUCUAGAAACAAGUAAUGUAACAUUUCCAUCUAUCUUUUCUACUCUUUUGGCGGUUUUAAUUACGUUAAUAUGCUAUGACAAU
rnacentral:lncRNA from 1 species